GUGGGGAAUUUUGGACAAUGGGCGCAAGCCUGAUCCAGCCAUUCCGCGUGCAGGAUGAAGGCCUUCGGGUUGUAAACUGCUUUUGUACGGAACGAAAAGGUUCUCUCUAAUACAGGGGGCUGAUGACGGUACCGUAAGAAUAAGCACCGGCUAACUACGUGCCAGCAGCCGCGGUAAUACGUAGGGUGCAAGCGUUAAUCGGAAUUACUGGGCGUAAAGCGUGCGCAGGCGGUGAUGUAAGACAGUUGUGAAAUCCCCGGGCUCAACCUGGGAACUGCAUCUGUGACUGCAUUGCUGGAGUGCGGCAGAGGGGGAUGGAAUUCCGCGUGUAGCAGUGAAAUGCGUAGAUAUGCGGAGGAACACCGAUGGCGAAGGCAAUCCCCUGGGCCUGCACUGACGCUCAUGCACGAAAGCGUGGGGAGCAAACAGGAUUAGAAACCCCUGUAGUCC
rnacentral:rRNA from 1 species